rnacentral:rRNA from 1 species
CCUACGGGAGGCAGCAGUGAGGAAUAUUGGUCAAUGGGCGGGAGCCUGAACCAGCCAAGCCGCGUGAGGGAAGAAGGUACAGCGUAUCGUAAACCUCUUUUGUCAGGGAACAAAGGCGGGGACUAGUCCCCGGAUGAGGGUGCCUGAUUAAGAAGCCCCGGCUAACUACGUGCCAGCAGCCGCGGUAAUACGUAGGGGGCAAGCGUUAUCCGGAUUUACUGUGUGUAAAGGGAGCGUAGACGGCAGCACAAGUCUGGAGUGAAAUGCCGGGGCUUAACCCCGGAACUGCUUUGGAAACUGUGCAGCUAGAGUGCAGGAGAGGUAAGUGGAAUUCCUAGUGUAGCGGUGAAAUGCGUAGAUAUUAGGAGGAACACCAGUGGCGAAGGCGGCUUACUGGACUGUAACUGACGUUGAGGCUCGAAAGCGUGGGGAGCAAACAGGAUUAGAUACCCGAGUAGUC